GGUCCCAGGGGCUGGCCUGGGGGGAGAGAAAUGGAGUUACGGAACAAAGCACCCACGUCUUUACAGAUGUUGUCUUUCUAGGCUUCCAGACCCUUUUCCACAGGCUGGGGGGUCAGUCUGCCUCCUCUUCUCCAACUCCCACUGCAUUAGGGCUUGCAUGGCACAGUGAGCUGGGUCUAGAACUAAAGCUUCUGACAUUUCUCCUUAUUUCUACUUGCUCUGACAAUUACGAUUUUUCAAGUCCCUUCUCAGACUUCAAAAAAAGUAAGACUUCAUUUUCAAAUAAGUCGUUCUCUCCUUCCUUUUCUCAGCCUCAUAGUGCCCUGACUUUCCAGUUCUCUCCCUUUACAGUCCUAGCUGCCACUUUCAUAUGGAUCUUUCUAUAGGCUUCAGUAAUGAAGCUUUCCUCCAGUAUUGUUUAGUAUUCAGGACCCAGUUGACAUUAGCCAGAGGCAUUCCUGCCAGAGGCCCGACCCAGGCAUUGACAAGAGAGUGGAAAACACACCCUGACUGAAGGAGCCCCUCAAGUCACUUUGGGAUUAACCAAAAGGGGAUCUCACUCAGCAUGAUUUUGGCAGCAAAUGGGAGAGUUCAUGUUUGUGUCAGCAAGUGAUGAAUCAAGCAGCCACACAAAUAUGCGAAGUUUAUUACAGACAGAGGUUGCUAUGGUGAUACCUAGAAAGGAUUUUAAUUGAGAGAACAUACUUAUGGUUCAGAUGUCAAAAUUCUGUCUUCUUUGUAAGUACAGACCUGGCCAUUCUCAGGUGUUCCUCUGCUCUAAAGGCAGCUUGCUCAGGGAAGAACAAGAUCAGCAGUUCAGGAUGUAUCCCCUGGAUACUGCAGCAUUCUCACAAAGACUCUGCUGCCAUCACAGCCAUACCCAGAUCAUUAACUGCAGCAUGGCACUGCGUGGAUGGCUACUGCUGUUCCCAGAGGCAGCCAGGACUGCCACCAAAGUCAGGUGUGGGGCUCAGAACCUUAUGCUGAAGCUCUCUGGGGACAGAGUCUCAUUGCUCUGGCCUCUUAGAUGAGCUCUGCUAUGGGGGCACACUUCCUUCCAAGGCAGCAUAUUGCAUCUGGCUCCCCUUUCUCUUCCUGUUGUCUGAGACAGGGAAGUGCCAAAGCACCAGCAGAAUACUCAGGAAAUCCUACAGGGGAUACUGAAGAGCAGGAAUAGUGGCACUGCUGCAGGCAUGGCUGCCUGAGAUACAAGUCCUGACUCUAGCUCUUCCUCCAAGACUGAGCAAUGCUUAGGAGAAACUGAAAUACAAGUUUCCAGGAUGAGUUAAUACAGUGAUUUCUUGUAAUAAAGGUCUUCAGAGCUCAGGUUUUUAAUUAAGCCUCUUAGUGAGCACAAAAAGAUGAACACUCACUGUGUAAGUAGCUUCCCUUGUAAUCAGAGUUCAUAAAAAUGUUUUCACAUUGACAGUGGAUAUAAUUUGUAUCAGCCAGUAUUGCAGGAUUUAGUCAGGAUAAUGUUCCUUUAUUUUGGAAUAAUUUUCCCCCUAAGUUUUUAACCCAGAAAUGUUCUUUAUCUGCAGUUCUUUAUUUAGGACUUAAAUAGUGGGUUAUAUUCCAUCACAAGAGGAAAGCUCAGGCUUGUCCCAGAAAGCUGAUCUGAUGGCUGGAAGAUGGGGCAGAUCAAGGGACUUCAUAUGACAGCCAGUGGAAUGGGCUGGUAAAAAAGGAAUACCACUGGAAGCCUUUAAGCUUGGUCUUCAGACAGCAAAUAGUACUGUAAGCACAAAUAGUGAUGGGGGAUGUCAGUUCCUCAGACUGAAAAAAACCUCAGGGUCCUGUAGUAAAAUUCUUAUUUUAGCUGCAAACUAAAUAGGUUUUCUAUAGCACCUCUGUGCAGUAUCUUAGCUUCUGCAAUGCCAAUAAAAAUAAAGGACAUGUUUAUGAUCAGGAAAGAAUUAUCAGAAUCCAAGUCUGGGAAGAAGAGAUCAGUGUGGGACACCUGCAGCUUGAUUUCUGAAAGCAAAGCAGCAGGAAGAUGAUGAACAGUGCCAGGCAUCAGUGCUGCAGGAAAAGCAUCAUCCACACACAGGAGCUAACACAGACUCCUGCUUUGUUUACCAGGUGGCACAGAGGAUGAUGUGGAGUAUCUCUUUAUGCUGUUACAGCAACCCACACUGCCACAGAGAAAGUGACUCACUGCAGAAGUGAGGGGAGGGCCCUGCCAGUGAGGAGUCUGUACAAGGAGACAGGUACUGCUCAAGGUGGUUCAGCAUUCCUGAACCUUGAAGGA